rnacentral:rRNA from 1 species
GACGGAGGAUGCAAGUGUUAUCCGGAAUCACUGGGCGUAAAGCGUCUGUAGGUGGUUCGAAAAGUCCACUGUUAAAAAUUGAGGCUUAACUUCAAAGAUGCCGUGGAAACUUUCAAACUAGAGUAUGGUAGGGGAGACUGGAAUUCCUGGUGUAGCGGUGAAAUGCGCAGUUAUCAGGAGGAACACCGGUGGCGAAGGCGGGUCUCUGGGCCGAUACUGACGCUGAGGAGCGAAAGCGUGGGGAGCGAACAGG